rnacentral:rRNA from 2 species
CCGCCGGUGACGUUGUGAGAAGUUCAUUAAACCUUAUCAUUUAGAGGAAGGAGAAGUCGUAACAAGGUUUCCGUAGGUGAACCUGCGGAAGGAUCAUUG